rnacentral:rRNA from 1 species
UACGUAGGGGGCGAGCGUUGUCCGGAUUCAUUGGGCGUAAAGAGCUCGUAGGCGGUUCGGCAAGUCGGGUGUGAAAACUCCAGGCUCAACCUGGAGACGCCACCCGAUACUGCUGUGACUCGAGUCCGGUAGGGGACCACGGAAUACCUGGUGUAGCGGUGAAAUGCGCAGAUAUCAGGUGGAACACCAGUGGCGAAGGCGGAGACCUGGGCCAAUACUGACGCUGAGGUGCGAAAGCGUGGGGAGCAAACAGG